rnacentral:rRNA from 1 species
AACGAAUGCUGGCGGCGGGCUUAACACAUGCAAGUCGAGCGCCCCGCAAGGGGAGCGGCAGACGGGUGAGUAACGCGUGGGAAUCUACCCAUCUCUACGGAAUAACGCAUGGAAACGUGUGCUAAUACCGUAUACGUCCUUCGGGAGAAAGAUUUAUCGGAGAUGGAUGAGCCCGCGUUGGAUUAGCUAGUUGGUGGGGUAAAGGCCUACCAAGGCGACGAUCCAUAGCUGGUCUGAGAGGAUGAUCAGCCACACUGGGACUGAGACACGGCCCAGACUCCUACGGGAGGCAGCAGUGGGGAAUAUUGGACAAUGGGCGCAAGCCUGAUCCAGCCAUGCCGCGUGAGUGAUGAAGGCCCUAGGGUUGUAAAGCUCUUUCACCGGUGAAGAUAAUGACGGUAACCGGAGAAGAAGCCCCGGCUAACUUCGUGCCAGCAGCCGCGGUAACAC